UGGUUCACUGAGGCAUCAGUGUGGCAUC
rnacentral:piRNA from 1 species